rnacentral:rRNA from 1 species
AGCGGACGGAUGGGAGCUUGCUCCCCUGAAGUCAGCGGCGGACGGGUGAGUAACACGUGGGCAACCUGCCUGUAAGACUGGGAUAACUUCGGGAAACCGGAGCUAAUACCGGAUAACACCGAGGACCUCAUGGUCCUUGGUUGAAAGAUGGCUUCGGCUAUCACUUACAGAUGGGCCCGCGGCGCAUUAGCUAGUUGGUGAGGUAACGGCUCACCAAGGCGACGAUGCGUAGCCGACCUGAGAGGGUGAUCGGCCACACUGGGACUGAGACACGGCCCAGACUCCUACUGGAGGCAGCACUAGGGAAUCUUCCGCAAUGGACGAAAGUCUGACGGAUCGACGCCUCGUGAGCGAUGAAGGCCUUCGGGUCGUAAAGCUCUGUUGUUAGGGAAGAACGACUACCGUUCGAAUAGGGCGGUACCUUGACGGUUCGUACCCCCAAAGCCACGGAUAUCUACGAGCCAACGGCCUCCGUAGUAC